GAUGAACGCUGGCGGCGUGCCUAACACAUGCAAGUCGAGCGAUUCUCUUCGGAGAAGAGCGGCGGACGGGUGAGUAACGCGUGGGUAACCUGCCCUGUACACACGGAUAACAUACCGAAAGGUAUGCUAAUACGGGAUAAUAUAUUUUAGUCGCAUGGCUGAAAUAUCAAAGCUCCGGCGGUACAGGAUGGACCCGCGUCUGAUUAGCUAGUUGGUAAGGUAAUGGCUUACCAAGGCGACGAUCAGUAGCCGACCUGAGAGGGUGAUCGGCCACAUUGGAACUGAGACACGGUCCAAACUCCUACGGGAGGCAGCAGUGGGGAAUAUUGCACAAUGGGCGAAAGCCUGAUGCAGCAACGCCGCGUGAGCGAUGAAGGCCUUCGGGUCGUAAAGCUCUGUCCUCAAGGAAGAUAAUGACGGUACUUGAGGAGGAAGCCCCGGCUAACUACGUGCCAGCAGCCGCAGUAA
rnacentral:rRNA from 1 species